GGCAGUCAUAGUCUAUGAUGCGACUCAGCUUUGUGGAAGUGCUUCUCUAAAGAACUUCCCCCAAUUUAAGAUGAUCUUAAUUUGCUUACUUGUUUACUGUCCAUUCAGCUGCUCUAAAAUGUGAGCUCCAAAUCAGGGGCCAUGUCUGCUUGGUUACCCAUUUCCUGGGACCUAGAACGGGCCUAGCUCAGAGCAGGUGCUCACUAUUGAUGGAAUGCAUGUUGAAAGAAUGCGUGAAUCUCAUCUCCUUUUGUGGGUGAAAAUCUCAUCCUAUUCUCACUCCUGAUUAACUUUCUUUCUUUUUUUUUUUUUUCAAAAUGGAGCCCUGAUCUGUCACCCAGGCUGCAGUGCAAUGGUGCAAUCUUGGCUCGCUGCAACCUCUGCCUUCUGGAUUAAAGCAAUUCUCCUGCCUCAGCCUCCUGGGUAGCUGGGAUUACAGGUGCACGCCACCACGCCCGGCUAAUUUUUUGUAUUUUUAAUAGAGACAGGGUUUCACCAUGUUGGCCAGGCUGGUCUCAAACCCCUGACUCUGUGAUCUGCCCGCUUUGGCCUCCCAAAGUCCUGGGAUUACAAACAUGAGCCGCCGUACCCAGCCACUCUUGAUUAACUUAAUGGAAAUAUUUAGAGAUUCUUUCUCUUCUGGGUUCUAGAGUCUUCUCUGUAACCUCUGCAGGUAGAAGUUGCUGGUCCCAUCUUGCUCACAAUCCUCCAAAGUUUGAAAGUUAUUUUCCAGGAGACUUGGCUUGCACUGAGAGCUGCCCUCCCACCCUCUCUCCAAAUUUCCUCUUGGGGGUAGCCUAACAAGGUGCUGUCACAGACCCUUG
rnacentral:lncRNA from 1 species